UCGCGCAGUAUUUAUCGUCGAGUUAAAGUGCGCGGAUCGCUCGAGGAGCGAACUUAUAUUCCUGCCAAAUUAAAUAAAAUAUUUGUUAAGUGCAUGUUUAGGUGUUAGUUGUUGUUGCCGCAAAGCCAAGUUCAUAAGCAGGUGCAAAGGUGCAAAAGUGGGCUAAUAACAAAACAAGUUCGCCAGUUUCAAUUGGAAAGCUAAGCGAAGAAGAUGGGAAAGUUCGAGUAUUCACUGGGUCUCAAUGAGCUCAAAUCGAAGGAGCUGCGAUUGUGGCAGGCCCUGAUUGGAGAAUUCCUGGGUAAUCUGAUCCUCAAUUUCUUUGCCUGCGGUGCAUGCACUCAAAUUGAGGAUGGUACCUUCAAGGCCCUGGCUUUUGGCCUGGCCAUCUUCAUGGCCAUCACGAUUGUGGGCCACUUGAGUGGAGGACAUGUAAAUCCUGCAGUCACCGCUGGAAUGUUGGUUGCAGGACGAAUCAGCUUGAUCAGGGCCUUCUUCUAUGUAAUUUUCCAGUGCCUGGGUGCCAUCGCUGGAACUGCAGCUGUUAAGAUACUCCUCGAUCAGGACUACCAUAAUGGCUUGGGUCACACCUCUCUGGCGCCGAAUAUCUCAGAAAUGCAGGGCCUGGGAAUUGAGUUCUUCCUGGGACUCCUGCUGGUUCUCGUUGUAUUUGGGGCCUGCGAUCCCCACAAGCCCGACUCCCGUUACACGGCGCCCCUGGCCAUUGGAAUGGCUGUGACCUUGGGUCACUUGGGCACGAUUCGAUACACGGGUGCCAGCAUGAAUCCCGCCCGCACUGUGGGCACUGCCUUUGCCACCGAUAUCUGGACCUCGCAUUGGGUGUACUGGGUGGGACCCGUGCUGGGGGGCGUGGCAGCAGCCCUGCUCUAUACCCAGGUUCUGGAGGCGAAACCCGCCCCGAAGGCGAACGAGGCCUCCGAGAAGUACCGAACGCACGCCGAUGAACGCGAGCAGCAGAUAUUCGUAUACUAAAGCUAUCGCAACCCGCCAUCCAAACUUAAAGCAAUCCACUUUUGAGAACCGAACCCAUUGGUUUAGAUCUUCUUCAAUCCUUUCAACCGAACCCGUCCACAAAUUCGAUCGAUGCGCAAAUUGGAGGGAGAACGCGACUAUGCUUAAAACUAAGGGAUCAUCAGCGACUCGAAUCUAGAGAUAGAGGGAGAUUUGUUCGAUGUAUCCAUUCAUUUCAGUGUCUAUCAUACUUAUGUCGUGUACUCUUCCGUUCGUGUGUAUUUAUGUAUUUAUUCAUGAAAAAAAAAAUCAUUUUUUAAUAACUAAUAUUUAAAUGUGUAAGCUGCCCUAAAAUGCAAACUACAAAAUAAAUUACUUGUACUCUCAAGCGUUCACAAUAAAGUGGAAAACAUUAACUGAAA